GAACGUUCAAUGUACUCGCUAGGAUAGGUCUGUGUCUAGCCAAUGACCUGCCUCGUGCGAAGAGAUUGGUCUUUUCUUAACCAAUGAGGUGACAUGACUAGCUGGCUAGAGAACAAUUAAAAAAAUAGAUAGCCAACAUUCUCUUUGCUGCUAAACUUCUUCUAGGUAAGUGACUGGCCAUAAAUUAUCACUAACAAUUAUUUCCACAGAUAGUCAUAUUUUUAUAGUGGCUAAUAAUUCAAAUGUAUAUUUAUCUUGCUUAUCUCUGUUCACCCUUCAUAUACAGUCAUUGGCUCGCCCUCGUUAACAAAAAACUGGUAAGUUACCCAUAAAGUUAGCUGGAUAGCUAACGUUAUAUCAAUUUUGCUAUGCAAUUAGCUCAACGUAACUAUGUUAAUAUAUUUUAGUUCAAGCAGAGAGCAAGAGGCGAAGCAUGUAGAUAGACACUCGUUGGUUAAAGGCGUGAUAAUAAUUAGCUAGACUGAUGGAUGGCAAACUUCAGCUGGCUAACUUAACUGGCUAGCAAACUAACGUUACCGCGCAAGGGACUGUGAACGUUCAUUUUGCAUCUUUGACGCCCCCUGUGGCAGAUUUGAGCAUGGCACAAGGACCCGCAGGCAGAGACGCGACUCGCAGGAAAAGUAAGGAUCAGCUGGACUGGAGCACAUGCUGGAGCAACAGUCUGAAAGAGAUUGCAGGCCUCCUGCCCAUAUCUAAGCCUAGGAAUGGCCGAGGACUCACCAAGAAGGAGACUCUGGUCCACAUGCUGCGCUAUUUUGACUUUCUUCAGAGUAGGAUCCAGACCCUGCAGAGCCGCUUGCCCCCACACUGCAUCCCCAAACAGGAUCCCGACACAGGUACAACCUCAGCCAAGCAUCAAGACAAGUACAGACUACAUACCUGA
rnacentral:lncRNA from 1 species